CCAGACUCUCCUGUCAGGAAGAAAAUUUCUUCAGACAAGCAGCAGGUCUUGAGGGCCCUCAAACUGAAAGAACUGAUGAAGCUGGAGAGGAAGAAAGAAAGAAUGGAGAAGAAGAGUAUACGGCAUAAACGUGAGCAUUGUAUUGAGCCAGAUCGUGACAAAAUGACCUUAGCUGACUUCAUUUACUACCUGCCAGAGUUAAACCCUAUGAAUCCUCCCUUUCCACAGAGGAGACUCAAACACAGAUCACUGCUCCACCAACUUCCACGUAAGUGAAAUUAAACCUAUAUUAUUAUUUUCAUAUGUGCAUAUGUGUCACAUCAAAGGAAUUGCUGUUUGUAUUUGGGGUUACUUAGUUUCAUAUUGCUAUGUACCAGUAGCGGGCCAUGCAUUUUAAACCUAUGCCUUCAGUGGCGUCCUGCAUGAAUUAAAUCCAUCUCUUCAUACCAUCAUAAUGAUGCCACGGCUAUAGAAACCAUAAAUAUUACACAGUAAUGCAGUAUAACAGGGCACUACAUAACAGACAGGUAUCUUAUGUAGUGAAAAUGAAUGCCAUUACUAAAGAAAACAACCUAAAUUAACAAUUGCACAACACAUCAUCUGUAGCUGAAGAAUUAACCUAACAAAAUGACACAAAUACAGUCCAUUCGAUGUUCUUACAGACAUUUAUUCACCCAAACGCAUUUAUACCUUAUAUACAGAUAGCAUUGGUAUAAAAGAAGUAAGGUGAUGUGUUUUAAAGUUGACCUAACAAUUUAAUGUUCUCUUACUGCNNNNNNNNNNGAAGAGAAGGUGAGAGAAAAUA
rnacentral:lncRNA from 1 species